AAAAAAAAGAAAAAAAACAACCACUAAACCCUAAACCCCUCUUUUCUCUCACCACCAAGAAACAAAACAAUUCUCCAUUAUCAGUUAUCACCUCCACUCAAAGUCAAUUCGAUCUAGAAAAAAUUAUAUCCAUCAAUGGCGUCAAAAUGCGGCAGAUUCAUGAACAGAGCGUCAUUAUCUUCUCUUAAAUCCUCCAUUAAAAACGCUGCUAAAUCUGCAUCGUCUUCCCCAAAACCCGCUGCAUCUCCUCUUCCUAGAUCCACUUCCUCACCUCUUCCUCGAUUCAGCUUCUCAAGAUUGCCGAAGGAGUUGGGAGGAGCGCAGUCGCUGCUGCCGCUGCACAGCGCCGUAUCAGUGGCGAGGCUGACGUCAUGCUUAAGUACGACUUCCAGGAGUGCCAGAGCUCUCUCACAGGGUACACUCUGCCGUACCUCUCCCGACCUCUAAUAUUCUUAUUUUUAGGCACAUAAUAUCAAUAUGCUUGAAAGAAAUAUAUGGUCAUGGAACCUGCCAAUCAUGAACCCUCGCGUCAUUCUCAAAUGAAAUUGAUGGUACGUGAGAGGUGUGGAGGUUGCUCAAUUCACCAGUGCUUCCAUGUUCCUUAGCUAUAUUGAUUUACCAAUAUAGUAUGUCUGAUGCAAAAGUCAUAUCUGUACAUUCUUUUGGAGCAAAUCUGUAGCAGUGCAGAUGAAACUUUUUUUCUUCUUUAUGACAACAGCUUACCGGAUUUAAGUCAAAAGACCAUAUUCAAUCAUAAUUAGUGAUAUUGAAGUGCUACUUCUCAUAGCAGUUUCUGAUCAAUAUUUAUUUUCUGUUUGCUCUAGAGCUUGGUCUGUCCGUACCCAGGUGACUGUUAGCAGAUCAUCGCUAAUUCCAGAAGCUGUCUGCAUUUGAUUGGAAAAACAACUCUUUGCUACCAAAAAAGUUAAAUGUAAACUGUACAAAUCCUCUAAUCAGCAUCAUUGAAUUUCUUUGCUGAUCAAAUAUUGGAUGUAAAGGUACUUACUUUUGAAAGUUUAACCACUGGAAUAAUUUGGCAUUCUUGCAUUUUUAUUUUUUA